GCGAUAUGCUUAACACAUGCAAGUCGAACGUUGUUUUCGUCUAUAGAACAGUUGAAGACAAAGUGGCGAACGGGUGCGUAACGCGUGGGAAUCUGCCAAACAGUUUGGGCCGAAUCCCAAAGAAACGAAAGCUUUGCUGCUUGCUUGCUUGCUUGCUGCUUUUCGAUAAAGCUAAAAAGCGCUGUUUGAUGAGCCUGCGUAGUAUUAGGUAGUUGGUUGGGUAAAGGCUGACCAAGCCGCAGAUGCUUAGCUGAUCUUUUCGGACGAUCAGCCACACUGGGACUGAGACACGGCCCAGACUCCGUAGGGAGGCAGCAGUGGGGAAUAUCGGACAAUGGGCGAAAGCCCGAUCCAGCAAUAUCGCGUGAGUGAGUGAAAAACGUCGCGUUAGCGAGGAAGGGCAAUGCCGCUUGUAAAGCUCUUUCGUCGAGUACGCGAUUAUGACAAGACUCGAAGAAGAAGCCCCGGCUAACUCCGUGCCAGCAGCCGCGGUAAGACGGGGGGGGCAAGUGUUAUUCGGAAUGACUGGGCGUAAAGGGCACGUAGGCAGUGAAUCAGGUUGAAAGUCAAAGGCGCCAGCUCAACUGGCGGAAUGCUUUCAAAACCAAUUUACUCGAGUGGGACAGAGGGGAGUGGAAUUUCGUGUGUAGGGAUAAAAUCCGGAGAUAUACGAAGGAACGCCGAAGUAGCGAAGGCAGCUUUCUGGGUCUCUACUGACGCUGAGGUGCGAAAGCUUGGGGAGCAAACAGGAUUAGAUACCCUGGUAGUCCAUGCCGUAAACGAUGAGUGUUCGUCCUUGGUCCGCGGAUCGGGGGCCCAGCUAACGCGUUAAACACUCCGCCUGGGGAGUACGGUCGCAAGACUGAAACUCAAAGGAAUUGACGGGGGCCUGCACAAGCGGUGGAGCAUGUGGUUUAAUUCGAUACAACGCGCAAAACCUUACCAGCCCUUGACAUAUGAACACUUGACGUAUGAACACUUGACAUAUGAACCGGUGUGCUUGUCCUUAACGGGAUGAAACGAAAAUUCAUACAGGUGCUGCAUGGCUGUCGUCAGCUCGUGUCGUGAGACGUUUUUGGUUAACUCCUAUAACGAGCGAAACCCUCGUUUUGUGUUGCUAAGAUAUGCUGCUCCCAGAGGAUCAAUGUCAUCAUUCACCCUCGGCAAGCAGGAACAUAGAACAUGGGCUUCCGGUUCCGACGAGCGAGCCGCUUCAUCGGUACCUGCCCAUGAAUCUGUGUUCAGUCAGCGGUUAGCCAGGAUUGAUGACACUCCCUCUGUGCCGAUGUUGCACUCACAAGAGACUGCCCGUAGUUCUACUAUGGAGGAAGGUGAGGAUGACGUCAAGUCCGCAUGGCCCUUAUGGGCUGGGCUACACACGUGCUACAAUGGCAAUUACAAUAGGAAGCAGGGCCGUAAGGCGGAGCGAAUCCAGAAAGAUUGCCUCAGUUCGGAUUGUUCUCUGCAACUCGAGAACAUGAAGUUGGAAUCGCUAGUAAUCGCGGAUCAGCAUGCCGCGGCGAAUAUGUACUCGGGCCCCGUACACACCGCCCGUCACACCCUGGGAAUUGGUUUCGCCCGAAGCAUCGACCAGAGAUCACCCAUUACUAAAGUGUUCCAUGCCUAGUUGAGUGUGGCCCAUUUUGGUAUUGGUGGUCUUCUUGGCGCAUAUCACGGUUGGGUCAGUGACUGGGGUGAAGUCGUAACAUGGUAGUCGUAGGGGA
rnacentral:rRNA from 1 species